UCUGCAAAACAUUGAAUCAUUGUGACAACUGCACUAAAAACAAGCUAAACACAGAACAAUGAAUGAAACUGAGCGCAGAGCCGUUGAAAAAAGGAAACCUGCUUUACUGGCUCCUGUUGUUCCUCUCAGAUUCAUUCUGGCGGAUCAGAUAGAUGCGGUGUACGGCACUCUGAUUCACCGCAUGAGAGAGGAGGCAAAGAGUAUCAUGGUAUGAGUGAGCGAGCGUCUGGGUCUUCCACACGGAAUACCGAUGUUCGAGAGUAUCGAGAAAUCUCGCCGAGCCAAACCUCAUCUGACGUCUUUACUGGAGAAAUUAGUCCAAUAACCGUCCUCAUUGAAUGCAAAAGUCACGAUAACCGCCUGACAUUCAGCUCGACUCCACGAACGAUAAAUCCCAUUUCACAUUGAUGAGAACGCUCAUAAUUAGCCGAACGAGAUGCACUCGAAUGAAGAACGUACUAGAAUCUCUGAACAAUCAGAAUAAGGCUGGGGAUUCUCCACCACUCAACAAGCAGUUCAGUCAGGAAAUGUUGUGUCUAGAAGGUAACCACCAUUAGACAAAGUCUCACAAGAGUCUCGUUCGCUGUUACCGAGGCUUAGGUUUAAGUUUGGGGUUUUGGUCAGGUGUCGGGCUUCUGUGGGACUCCAAAUAAACACAAUAAACACAACAUGUGAACGUUAAAUGCCACUUUUGCGAGAUUUCAAGCAACUGGAGGGUUACCUUCUAGACACGACCUAGGAAAAUCUCGAGAUGAGAUGUCACAUACUGCUGUUUCAUUGGUCUGUUUGGCAUCAUGUGAUGCUUAGGUGUUUCUUACACAUAUAACCUGACUAAGUAUUCAUUUUGAUUAAGGUCAUCUAUUUUGCCUUAGAAACAUUGGUUGCACAUGUAGAUCAUUUGAUGAUGAUCAUUUAUAAAGAUGUAGUAU